GCCCAGGUGGUGAAAUUGGUAGACACGCCAUCUUGAGGGGGUGGUGAUCACUUGAUCGUGCUGGUUCGAAUCCAGUCCUGGGCA
rnacentral:tRNA from 2 species